rnacentral:rRNA from 1 species
AUAUUGGCCAGAGACCGAUAGCGCACAAGUAGAGUGAUCGAAAGAUGAAAAGCACUUUGGAAAGAGAGUUAAACAGUACGUGAAAUUGUUGAAAGGGAAGCGCUUGCAAUCAGACUUGCCCGUGGUGUUCAUCAUGGUCUCGUACCCUGUGUACUUCAUCAAGUUCAGGCCAGCAUCAGUUUGAGUGGUUAGAUAAAGGCUUAGAGAAUGUGGCCCUCUUCGGGGGGUGUUAUAGCUCUAGGUGCAAUGUAACCUACUUGGACUGAGGACCGCGCUUCUGCUAGGAUGCUGGCGUAAUGGUUGUAAGCGACCCGUCUUGAAACACGGACC